GACGUAGGGCGCGAGCGUUGUCCGGAUUUAUUGGGCGUAAAGAGCUCGUAGGCGGCUUGUUGCGUCGACUGUGAAAACCUGCGGCUCAACCGUGUGGUCUGCAGUCGAUACGGGCAGGCUGGAGUUCGGUAGGGGAGACUGGAAUUUACGGUGUAGCAGUGAAAUGCGUAGAGAUCGUAAGGAAGACCAGUGGCGAAGGCGGGUCUCUGGACAGUUCCUGACACUGAGGCACGAAGGCCAGGGGAGCAAACGGG
rnacentral:rRNA from 1 species